UGUCCCCAGAGCAGUUAUAAAAGAGCAGAGGGAACUGGAAAAAAGAAGAUGAUUGUCGAUCUUAGCUACUUCCUUUAGCUCUCUUCCACAAAAUUAUUGACCUUGUUUGCAAGAACUAGAUAAUAAGGACAACGUGGCAGCCCACACCUUCAGGAAGAGGAGCGACUUACAGAAACGACGUGCCCCUCAGGGCACACAGCAUAAGGCCAUGAGGCUGCUGGCCUGUCUUGAUAUCUGUAUACUCCUUUCGUAUCAGAUAUGAAAUCGACUGGCCAGAAUUAUAAAUGGGUGACAGAUACCUGAACAUAGAAAUCCUUAAUAGUUCUUGGAACACAGAAAUGCCAUUGAUCAGCAGUAACUGGGAGACAGAACACACAAAGGUCUUUCCAUAUCAAAUCCAUGGAGAGAGUCUUGGCAUGAUUCAGCCAGGGAAGGGGGUGUUGCAACCAUGUAAACAUUUUUACUAGGAUGGAAACUUUGGGUCCUUGAAUCCCAGAAAACAAAUGAACCAACGAAUCAACCAGCUUGGUUAUACUAACCAGCAAAGUAUAAAACAGCCACAAAGACAAACUCCUGAGUGUCAUCGUUUUUCUUAG